GUUCUGAAGUAAUUUUGUUUCUUUUAAUUUAGCUUUUAACUUAAUGUCAAAAUUUGAAAUUCAACUUGUGAAAUGUAUUAUUUAAAUAAGUUUUUGUGUUGCAUGCAUCUUUAUAUUGGAUGCCUUAUCAGUGGCUUUACAGGAAUUGUGUUAUGCAUUGUGGGUAUUCCAAUAAUUAUAUUAAAAGUAUUUCCGAUUUGCGUCUAUUGGUUUGCUGUGGCAGUAGUGUGUAUUAUUGUGUAUUUUCUGGCCAAAAUAUUGCUGCUUGUAGGCGCAAUAUGUGGUUAUGCUCAAAUUGUUCUUGCGUCCUUUAUUAUUGGGCUAAUUGCAUUAAUUUACCCAAUUGCUCUGUUAGUAUGGUACAUUUAUUUUAAGGAACUUGUUUUAACAAUUGCUGCACUUACAUAUUUUAUAAUAAUGGAACUUUACUAUUCCUGGGUUGUCCUGUCGUAUUGGAAAGUUGUGAAGAAUUGUUGCAAAGAAUAAGCGAAAUAUAUCUUUACCCAUUAUAGUCCUGUGUAAAUAUCAAUAUGUAUGUUUGGAAGACUACGUGAUAAAAUGCAUACAUUCAUGUUUACAUUUAUUAACAUAAAUUAAAUUGCUAAUGUAAACCUUUAUGUUGUCAGUUCAAAAAAAUUAUAAAAU